UGUUUGUUGGAAAUAGGGGGGCGAGACCCAUAGCUCCUUAAAAAAGGUGUAUUUCCUCUCAAUCACUUGCACAAGCAAACAAGUACUUCCUAGUCAGUUGUAUUCGUUUUGUUAUAUUUAUGAGAACUGCCUUUUCAAACAGGAGAAGAACGGCUAUCUUGCUUUUCUGAAAUCAACAUGAGCUCAGUCUGGAAAAAUGUUGGAUAUUCUUGAAGAAAUACUUGCGAUGAAGGAUAGCCAUUGUUUGCAUGCUUCCUCCCUGUGGUGCAUUUGGUUCCUAAGCCAUCCUCUCAAGCUCCCAUUUCGAUAGUUGUGAUCCCUGGGUCUGCGAAGCCAGGUUUGCAGAAGAAAUUGGGGGGCUCAAGUCUGCAAUCAAGGGAGUCUGCAUGGUGGUCUCUGUUGUUUGAAGGCAAGGUGCUCGGGAAUGAGCUACUGGCUAAAUCGUUUGGUGAUCUCAAGGAUGUGCUCUCUGAUGCGGGAAACGUGGUCGACGACAAGCUCUGACUACUACAGGCUCCAACAAGGCUUCUAUUCUGAACCAAUAAACUUGAACAGCUACAAGAAGCAUCUUUCCAUGGAGCUUAAAUGCCUUUUCCAAUACAUAGUUAAUCAACCGACGAAAGGAUUGGGUACUGAGCUUCUUGUACUUGAGGAUGCUAUGUCAGGAAGUGAAACGUUGUGGCUUCAAGGAGUGAAGAAAUUGGAUUGGGAUCAAUGGAGUAAAUCAAACAAGG